UACGUAGGGGGCUAGCGUUGUCCGGAUUUAUUGGGCGUAAAGAGCGUGUAGGCGGCCAUGUAGGUCCGGUGUGAAAACUCGAGGCUUAACCUCGAGAUGUCAUCGGAAACCAUUUGGCUAGAGUCCGGAAGAGGAGAGUGGAAUUCCUGGUGUAGCGGUGGAAUGCGCAGAUAUCAGGAGGAACACCAAUAGCGAAGGCAGCUCGCUGGGACGGUAUUGACGCUGAGGCGCGAAAGCGUGGGGAGCAAACAGG
rnacentral:rRNA from 1 species